UACGUAGGUGACGAGCGUUAUCCGGAAUACUGGGCGUAAAGCGCACGCAAGCGGUUGGACAAGUCUGGCGUGAAAUCUCCUGGCUUAACUAGGAGCGGUCGCUGGAGACUGUUCGGCUUGAGGCGAUGAGAGGGGUGCAGAAUUCCCGGUGUAGUGGUGGAAUGCGUAGAGAUCGGGAGGAAUACCAGUGGCGAAAGCGGCACCCUCGGCGUCGUACUGACGCACAUGUGCGAAAGCGUGGGGAGCGAACGGGAUUAAGAAAC
rnacentral:rRNA from 1 species